rnacentral:rRNA from 1 species
AUUGAACGCUGGCGGCGUGCUUAACACAUGCAAGUCGAUCGGUAACAGGUGUAGCAAUACAUGCUGACGAGAGGCGGACGGGUGAGCAAUGCUUGGGAAUCUGCCUAUUAGUGGGGGACAACCCGGGGAAACUCGGGCUAAUACCGCAUACGCUCUACGGAGGAAAGCCGGGGACCGCAAGGCCUGGCGCUAAUAGAUGAGCCCAAGUCGGAUUAGCUAGUUGGUAGGGAACGGCCCGCCAAGGCGACGAUCCGUAGCUGGUCUGAGAGGAUGAUCAGCCACACUGGGACUGAGACACGGCCCAGACUCCUACGGGAGGCAGCAGUGGGGAAUAUUGGACAAUGGGCGCAAGCCUGAUCCAGCCAUGCCGCGUGAGUGAUGAAGGCC